rnacentral:rRNA from 1 species
GUUACUUAAACAACCAGGAGGUUGGCUUAGAAGCAGCCAUCCUUUAAAGAAAGCGUAAUAGCUCACUGGUCUAGUGAUUUUGCGCGGAAAAUAUAACGGGGCUAAAGUAAGUACCGAAGCUGUAGACUUGCACACAACUUAGAUUAUUUAAGUUUAGAAUAUGAGAAACUAAGUUAUAUGUUUAGUUAUAUUUUUACUGAUUUUUAUAGAGUAAAGAUAGAAAUAAAACUUAAUAAAAUCAGUAAAAAUAUUCUUAGGCUAAAGUUAAGUAGUUUAAGUUGUGUGCAAGUGGUAGGAGAGCGUUCUAUUUGCGUCGAAGGUAUACCGGUAAGGAGUGCUGGAGCGAAUAGAAGUGAGCAUGCAGGCAUGAGUAGCGAUAAUUAAUGUGAGAAUCAUUAACGCCGUAAACCCAAGGUUUCCUACGCGAUGCUCGUCAUCGUAGGGUUAGUCGGGUCCUAAGUCGAGUCCGAAAGGGGUAGACGAUGGCAAAUUGGUUAAUAUUCCAAUACCAACAUUAGUGUGCGAUGGAAGGACGCUUAGGGCUAAGGGGGCUAGCGGAUGGAAGUGCUAGUCUAAGGUUGUAGGAGGUUAUACAGGCAAAUCCGUAUAACAAUACUCCGAGAACUGAAAGGCUUUUUGAAGUCUUCGGAUGGAUAGAAGAACCCCUGAUGCCGUCGAGCCAAGAAAAGUUUCUAAGUUUAGCUAAUGUUGCCCGUACCGUAAACCGACACAGGUGGGUGGGAUGAGUAUUCUAAGGCGCGUGGAAGAACUCUCUUUAAGGAACUCUGCAAAAUAGCACCGUAUCUUCGGUAUAAGGUGUGGUUAGCUUCGUACUAGGAUUUACUCCGAAAGCGAAGAAACUUACAACAAAGAGUCCCUCCCGACUGUUUACCAAAAACACAGCACUCUGCUAACUCGUAAGAGGAUGUAUAGGGUGUGACGCCUGCCCGGUGCUCGAAGGUUAAUUGAUGGGGUUAGCAUUAGCGAAGCUCUUGAUCGAAGCCCGAGUAAACGGCGGCCGUAACUAUAACGGUCCUAAGGUAGCGAAAUUCCUUGUCGGUUAAAUACCGACCUGCAUGAAUGGCGUAACGAGAUGGGAGCUGUCUCAAAGAGGGAUCCAGUGAAAUUGUAGUGGAGGUGAAAAUUCCUCCUACCCGCGGCAAGACGGAAAGACCCCGUGGACCUUUACUACAGCUUGACACUGCUACUUGGAUAAGAAUGUGCAGGAUAGGUGGGAGGCUUUGAGUAUAUGACGCCAGUUGUAUAUGAGCCAUUGUUGAGAUACCACUCUUUCUUAUUUGGGUAGCUAACCAGCUUGAGUUAUCCUCAAGUGGGACAAUGUCUGGUGGGUAGUUUGACUGGGGCGGUCGCCUCCCAAAUAAUAACGGAGGCUUACAAAGGUUGGCUCAGAACGGUUGGAAAUCGUUCGUAGAGUAUAAAGGUAUAAGCCAGCUUAACUGCAAGACAUACAAGUCAAGCAGAGACGAAAGUCGGUCUUAGUGAUCCGGUGGUUCUGUGUGGAAGGGCCAUCGCUCAAAGGAUAAAAGGUACCCCGGGGAUAACAGGCUGAUCUCCCCCAAGAGCUCACAUCGACGGGGAGGUUUGGCACCUCGAUGUCGGCUCAUCGCAUCCUGGGGCUGGAGCAGGUCCCAAGGGUAUGGCUGUUCGCCAUUUAAAGCGGUACGCGAGCUGGGUUCAGAACGUCGUGAGACAGUUCGGUCCCUAUCUGCCGUGGGCGUAAGAAGAUUGAAGAGAUUUGACCCUAGUACGAGAGGACCGGGUUGAACAAACCACUGGUGUAGCUGUUGUUCUGCCAAGAGCAUCGCAGCGUAGCUAAGUUUGGAAAGGAUAAACGCUGAAAGCAUCUAAGCGUGAAGCCAACUCUAAGAUGAAUCUUCUCUAAGCUCUCUAGAAGACUACUAGUUUGAUAGGCUGGGUGUGUAAUGGAUGAAAGUCCUUUAGCUGACCAGUACUAAUAGAGCAUUUGGCUUAUCUUUAAUAAAGCAU